CAGCAGCCGCGGGAAUACGGAGGGAGCUAGCGUUGUUCGGAAUCACUGGGCGUAAAGCGCACGUAGUCGGCUAUUCAAGUCAGGGGUGAAAGCCCGGGGCUCAACCCCGGAACUGCCUUUGAAACUAGAUAGCUUGAAUCUUGGAGAGGCGAGUGGAAUUCCGAGUGUAGAGGUGAAAUUCGUAGAUAUUCGGAAGAACACCAGUGGCGAAGGCGACUCGCUGGACAAGUAUUGACGCUGAGGUGCGAAAGCGUGGGGAGCAAACAGGAUUAGAUACCCGGGUAGUCCCUGUCUCUUAUAC
rnacentral:rRNA from 1 species